GAACGCUAGCGGCAGGCUUAAUACAUGCAAGGUCGUGGGGCAGCAUGAGUAGCAAUACUUGAUGGCGACCGGCAAACGGGUGAGGAACACGUACACAACCUUCCUUCAAGCGGGGAAUAGCCCAGAGAAAUUUGGAUUAAUACCCAUAAUAUAUUUGAUAAGGCAUCUUAUUAAUAUUAAAGCUUCGGCACUUGAUGAUGGGUGUGCGGCUGAUUAGAUAGUUGGCGGGGUAACGGCCCACCAAGUCUACGAUCAGUAGCUGAUGUGAGAGCAUGAUCAGCCACACGGGCACUGAGACACGGGCCCGACUCCUACGGGAGGCAGCAGUAAGGAAUAUUGGACAAUGGACGAAAGUCUGAUCCAGCCAUGCCGCGUGAAGGAUUAAGGUCCUCUGGAUUGUAAACUUCUUUUAUAUGGGACGAAAAAAGGGCAUUCUUGUUCACUUGACGGUACCAUAUGAAUAAGCACCGGCUAACUCCGUG
rnacentral:rRNA from 1 species